rnacentral:lncRNA from 1 species
CACUAAGUGUUUAAGGGAAAACCUCUUCGUUUCUUUAUUGGGCUAUGAGGCCAACUAAAAAGAUCUUUUCAAAUGCCUUGCAAAAAUCCUGACCCAUUGGUGAACAGAUGUUGGUCUGAUUAGGCUGGAUGAACAGAAAACAUGUAUAGCCAGAUCCAUCUCUAGAAGAGACUAAUUUCCACCUUGCUUUUGAUCUUUCCCCAUUACAUUUUCUGUAAGUAAGACUUUCACUGUGAAUACUAAUUGAUGUCAAGUUAACAAGUGCCAAGAGUCUGGUCACCAGGGAGGAUGGAUUGAAACAAAAGGUGUCUCCCUUGGAGUGUGCAGAAGUCUUUCUGGGUCAGGCGAUUAGGUAACAAUGUAAGGCAGUAUGGAAAUAAAUGCUCAGUUAUGAAGAGCGGGGUAUAGGCAUUAUGGGAUGGGAAAAAUCACUCUCUUCCAAUAUUUCUAAUAUCUUGAGCAAGUUUCAGAACCGUUUCAUGCAAGUCUUUCUUUUUUCUUCUUAGGCUGUUAUGGCCAUUGAGGCUUUUCUGCUUUCUUGAAGCAAUGAUAAUAGGGCACAUUUUCUGAGUACCUACUUUGUGUCAGCAGAUUGGCCUAAGAACUUAUCUCAGUUAAUUUUAACCUCAUCGCAAACUUCUGAGAUGGAUAUUCUUGUCUCCAUUUUAUAGAUGGGGAAGCCAAGGUGGGGAGGCUUAUACCUGCCCAAAGUGAGCUCCGAUUAACUCCUUCCUCCUUUUGCUAGGAGGGUAGGUGGGGAGAACCAGGUUUGCCAUCUGGGAAGAGAACCUGGAUUUUUUAACCCUGGCUGCUUUUUACCUACUCACCUGUGAAGGUAGGACCUUCAGCAAGUUGCUUCAUCUGUUAGAGCUUCUCAGUUGUAAAAGUGGGCAGGUUUGUUUUCUGGCCUUAAAUACCUCCUAUGCAAUAGAUGCUCGUACAGUAGGAAAGGUUGUUAAUUAAAAGCAAUGAUAAGAUGGAGUUCCAGCCAUGGCACAGUAGGUUAAGAAUCCGACUGCCAUGGCUCUGGUCGCUGCAGAGGUGUGGGUUGCAGACGCGGCUCGAAUCCCGCGUUGCUGUGGCUCUGGCAUAGGCCGGUGGCUACAGCUCCGAUUCGACCCCUAGUCUGGGAACCUCCAUGUGCCGCGGGAGCGGCCCAAGAAAUAGCAACAACAACAACAACAACAAAAGACAAAAAAAAAAAAAGAAAUAUUUUUUGAAGUAGGCUUAAUGCUUAUUCUAGGUAUGUGUGGAUAUGCAUGCAUUCUUUAUGGAACACACAGAGGCACACGUAGAAAUUUAUGAUGUGCUUUCAGAAUCUGGGGAUUAUCAGAAAGAAUGUAGGAGUUCCCGUCAUAGGCUUAAUGUAAACAAGUCCGACUAGUAUCCUUGAGGAUGAGGGUUUGAUCCCUGGCCUCCCUCAGUGGGUUAAAGAUCUGGCAUUGCUGUGCACUGUGGUGUAGGUCCGUAGCUGCAGCGCCGAUUGGACCCCUAGCCUGGGAACUUCCUUGUAUCAUGGGUGCAACCCUAAAAACCAAAAAAAAAAAAAAAAAAAAAAAAAAA